UACGUAGGGGGCGAGCGUUGUCCGGAUUUAUUGGGCGUAAAGAGCGUGUAGGCGGCCAGGUAGGUCUGCUGUGAAAACUCGAGGCUCAACCUCGAGACGUCGGCGGAAACCGUCUGGCUAGAGUCCGGAAGAGGAGAGUGGAAUUCCUGGUGUAGCGGUGAAAUGCGCAGAUAUCAGGAAGAACACCCGUGGCGAAGGCGGCUCUCUGGGACGGUACUGACGCUGAGACGCGACAGCGUGGGGAGCGAACAGG
rnacentral:rRNA from 1 species